rnacentral:misc_RNA from 1 species
GGAUGAAUACAGUCUCGACCUUUGUAGCGAAAUCAACCAGCUAAAUGAAUACCUUCCUCUCUACGCCUUUAUCAAUACCAACUCCACGCUGGACGUUAGCGUUCACGAUAUGCGCAUGGCGCUGUGGUUUUUUGAGUAUGCGUUGGGGCUGGCUGAAGAUAUCGCGACGCGCAUUCAUCAAUAUACAAACGAAUAUCUCGAUAAUAUUACGCCGCCGUUUACCAAAGCGCUGUUUACCUACGCCAAAGAAGGAAAAUAUACCUUUUGUACGCCGGGUCAUAUGGCGGGAACGGCGUAUCAGAAAAGCCCGCCAGGCUGUCUGUUUUAUGACUUUUUUGGCGGCAAUACCUUAAAAGCUGAUGUGUCGAUUUCGGUGACUGAGCUGGGAUCGCUGCUGGAUCACACCGGGCCGCAUCUGGAAGCGGAAGAGUAUAUCGCCCGUACUUUUGGCGCCGAGCAGAGCUAUAUGG